CCUACGGGAGGCAGCAGUGAGGAAUAUUGGUCAAUGGACGAGAGUCUGAACCAGCCAAGUAGCGUGAAGGAUGACUGCCCUAUGGGUUGUAAACUUCUUUUAUAUGGGAAUAAAACGUUCCACGUGUGGGAUUUUGUAUGUACCAUAUGAAUAAGGAUCGGCUAAUUCCGUGCCAGCAGCCGCGGUAAUACGGAGGAUCCGAGCGUUAUCCGGAUUUAUUGGGUUUAAAGGGAGCGUAGGUGGAUUGUUAAGUCAGUUGUGAAAGUUUGCGGCUCAACCGUAAAAUUGCAGUUGAAACUGGCAGUCUUGAGUACAGUAGAGGUGGGCGGAAUUCGUGGUGUAGCGGUGAAAUGCUUAGAUAUCACGAAGAACUCCGAUUGCGAAGGCAGUUCACUGGACUGCAACUGACACUGAGGCUCGAAGGUGUGGGUAUCAAACAGGAUUAGAUACCCUAGUAGUC
rnacentral:rRNA from 1 species